CCGACUUUAGCUCAGUUGGAAGAGCAUCAGACUGUAACGGUUACCUGGAAAUCUGAGGGUCGUCUGUUCGAACCAGACAAGUCGGA